GACGAACGCUGGCGGCGUGCUUAACACAUGCAAGUCGAGCGGUAAGGCCCUUUCGGGGGUACGACGAGCGGCGAACGGGUGAGUAACACGUGGGUGACCUGCCCUUAGCUCUGGGAUAAGCCUGGGAAACUGGGUCUAAUACCGGAUAUGACUCCAUGACGCAUGUUGUGGGGUGGAAAGCCUUGUGCGGCUAGGGAUGGGCCCGCGGCCUAUCAGCUUGUUGGUGGGGUGAUGGCCUACCAAGGCGACGACGGGUAGCCGGCCUGAGAGGGCGACCGGCCGCACUGGGACUGAGACACGGCCCAGACUCCUACGGGAGGCAGCAGUGGGGAAUCUUGCGCAAUGGGCGAAAGCCUGACGCAGCGACGCCGCGUGAGGGAUGACGGCC
rnacentral:rRNA from 1 species